GACGAACGCUGGCGGCGGGCUUAACACAUGCAAGUCGAACGGAAAGGCCCUGCUUUUUUGGUCUGCUCGGGUGGCGAUCGGGUGAGUAACACGUGUGCAUCCGACUCUUGUUUUUGGGAUAAGUUCAGGUAACUGGGGUUAAUAUCGUAUCGGAGAUCCUGUUGCGUGGAGAGGGUUGGAAAGUUUCGGCGGUUGGGGUUGGAUUCGCGGCUUAACAGCUUGUUGGUGGGGUAGGUGCUUACCCAGGCUUUGACGGGUAGCCGGCCUGAGAGGGUGACCGGGCACAUUGGGACUGAGGUACGGCCCAGACUCCUACGUGAGGCAACAGUGGGGAAUAUUGCACAAUGGGCGGAAGCCUGAUACAGCAACGCCGCGGUCGGAAAGACGGCCUUCUGGUUGUAAACCGCUUUCGCCUGAGACGAAGCGUGAGUGACGGUAAUGAGUAAAUAAGCACCGGCUAACUACGUG
rnacentral:rRNA from 1 species